UACGGAGGGUGCAAGCGUUAUCCGGAUUCACUGGGUUUAAAGGGUGCGUAGGUGGGUUGGUAAGUCAGUGGUGAAAUCCCCGAGCUUAACUUGGGAACUGCCAUUGAUACUAUUAAUCUUGAAUGCUGUGGAGGUGAGCGGAAUAUGUCAUGUAGCGGUGAAAUGCUUAGAUAUGACAUAGAACACCAAUUGCGAAGGCAGCUCACUACCCAGAUAUUGACACUGAGGCACGAAAGCGUGGGGAUCAAACAGG
rnacentral:rRNA from 1 species